UACAGGGGGUGCGAGCGUUGUCCGGAAUCACUGGGCGUAAAGGGCGCGUAGGUGGCCUGGUAAGUCUGUGGUGAAAGCCCGGAGCUCAACUCCGGGUCUGCCGCGGAUACUGCGAGGCUUGAGUGCUGUAGAGGGGGGUAGAAUGCCGGGUGUAGCGGUGGAAUGCGUAGAGAUCCGGCAGAAGACCGGUGGCGAAGGCGGCCCCCUGGGCAGUAACUGACACUGAGGCGCGACAGCGUGGGGAGCAAACAGG
rnacentral:rRNA from 1 species